rnacentral:lncRNA from 1 species
GACUAUACUGCAUAAAAGAUUACAAAUCUACUGCUUAUUUUACAUGUGAGGGCAUUCAAAACGAUGCAUUGAUACUUGUCACAUAAUUCCACACUGAUAAUUUGGAUUAUGCUUUCGUUUUCAAGUCGAUAAUUGCAAACAAUAAAACCAAAUUAUACGCAAGAAUUUCUUUCCCGUUCCUUCCAAUAAGCACACCGAAGACUUGCCUAUUGAAUUCACCAGACAACGUCAUUGAAACCCAAAACUAUCUGAAUACUGCAAAAUCAUCGGUGACGAAUGCAGAAUAUAACAUUGAAUCUGAGGAACAUAAAAUCAAUAAUUAAACUGGGGAACAUAAAUUUAACAUUGAAUCUCCAAGAAAACAGAGGAAAAUAUGCUCAAACCAAUUUGUAUUCGCUUGGUUCAUUCAAAGAGAAGACCCAUGCCCCAAUCAAACCACGAUGACUAUGAUUUUUCCUUCUU